rnacentral:rRNA from 1 species
ACGAACGCUGGCGGCAUGCCUAACACAUGCAAGUCGAACGAGACCUUCGGGUCUAGUGGCGCACGGGUGCGUAACGCGUGGGAACCUGCCCUUAGGUUCGGAAUAACUCCCCGAAAGGGGUGCUAAUACCGGAUAAUGUCUUCGGACCAAAGAUUUAUCGCCUUUGGAUGGGCCCGCGGUGGAUUAGCUAGUUGGUAGGGUAAAAGCCUACCAAGGCGACGAUCCAUAGCUGGUCUGAGAGGAUGAUCAGCCACACUGGGACUGAGACACGGCCCAGACUCCUACGGGAGGCAGCAGUGGGGAAUAUUGGACAAUGGGCGAAAGCCUGAUCCAGCAAUGCCGCGUGAGUGAUGAAGGCCUUAGGGUUGUAAAGCUCUUUUACCCGGGAUGAUAAUGACAGUACCGGGAGAAUAAGCUCCGGCUAACUCCGUG